AUUGAACGCUGGCGGCAGGCCUAACACAUGCAAGUCGAGUGAGCGGCGGACGGGUGAGUAAUGUAUGGGGACUGCCCGAUAGAGGGGGAUAACUACUGGAAACGGUGGCUAAUACCGCAUAAUAUCCGCUUACCCAUAUGGGAUGAGCUAGUAGGUGGGGUAAAGGCUCACCAAGGCGACUCUCUCUAGCUGGUCGGAGAUGAUGAUGAUCCAAACUGGGCCGGAGACACGGCCCAGACUCCUACGGAGGCAGCAGUGGGGAUUUUUGCACAAUGGGCGCAAGCCUGAUGCAGCCAUGCCGCGUGUAUGAAGAAGGCCUUAGGGUUGUAAAGUACUUUCAGCGGGGAGGCGUUACCCGCAGAAGAAGCACCGGCUAACUCCGUGCCAGCAGCCGCGGUAAUUC
rnacentral:rRNA from 1 species